ACCUGGAGGCGAUUCUCGCA
rnacentral:snRNA from 1 species